ACCAAAACCCUCCUCCCAUCUCUCGCGCGCCGCGCCCCACCGUCCCCUCCCUCUCUUCACGAUCAAAUUCCUGUCCUCUCCCCCCCGAUACCGAUCCCCCUCAACACUCUCUCCGUCUCCGACACCGAUCUUCGUCUCCGACACCGCACCAACCCGCGGGACAACAGAGUUAGUAGUAAUCACUUGGCUUCUAGUUGCUUGGAUUUGGUAUUACUCUCCUCGACCCCAGCUCAGAGAGAUCUAGGGUUGGGGGUUUCGAUUGCCCAAUGGAGGAGGUCAGCUCUCUUUGUGUUCGCUUUUUUUUUAAUCACUCUGGAGUUUGGAGUGGACGAAUUCGACGAGCUGUCUUGGAGGUGCUGGAGCCUGGAGAGGCAGGUUGGAAGGCUUCUCUUCUUCUCUCUCUAGGGUUUUUCUCUCUCUACAUUGGAAUCAAGGGUUUUGGUCUACUUUCUUCUCCUUCUUUGAUGCUGAUUGUUUUGGGAAGCCAGGGAGCUGUUGUAGAAGGGUGAAGAAGGUAUUUUGGGAAGGAUUUCGCAACUCCAUCACAGCAGGUAGCUGAGUGGAGACUUGCUAAGCUGGUGUGAGGGGAGUUCUAGUAGCCCUAGAAGCAGGAUUUGAUGUGGUUUUUGUAACCUGAAUCCAGAGGGAGAAUGAGAUUGGAACUUGGAAUGAGCUUGGAGGCUCCUGUUGUGCUGAAUAGCUUGACAUUGUGAACUAGGUUGAGGGGAUUUCAACUAGAAGGAAGCAGAGUUACAACAGGAAGUGCGCACCUUAUAAUUGAGAGUUAGGACUCUUUUGAGCUGGAUUAAGCUGAUUGUGGAGUACUUCAAUUCAGAUUGAAGUAAAGUUUUGGCGUAAGUCUCAACCUAGGGACUUGGAGACUUCAAUUUCCUGCAGCUGUGAGUUUGACAAGGGUCAUCUAUUAGUAGGUGGGUUUGGCCUUACCAGAAGCCUUCCACGACGGGAGAGGCUAGGGAUCGCGGCAAGGGAGUCGCGUCUAGCUAGGCAUAGCGUGGAGUCCUGCUAGGUGAUCACCUCGCUAUUUUGAUAUGCUGACGAGGAUGAAGUGUACCUUGUGUAGAGAGACUACCACUUAUGUUUUAUAUAGUUGUUGGGUGACCCUGUAGAGUACAUGAUUGUUUGGAGUGAUGUAAUUAUGGUUUUGGAUUUC